rnacentral:tRNA from 1 species
GGGGACAUAGCUCAGUGGUACAGCGCUUGCCUGGAAAGCACAAGUUCCUGAGUUCGAUUCCCAGUCCA